rnacentral:RNase_P_RNA from 2 species
UGACUGGAUCGGGCGAUCGCUGGUCGGCUUUGGCCGUCGAGAGGAAAGUCCGGGCUCCAAAGGACAGGGUGGUCGGUAACACCGACCGGUCGUGAGACCAGGGAAAGUGCAACAGAAAGUAGACCGCCUCGGGAAACUGAGGUAAGGGUGAAACGGUGCGGUAAGAGCGCACCAGCGGCCGAGGUGACUCGGUCGGCUAGGUAAACCCCACUCGGAGCAAGGCCAAACAGAGGGGAGGUUCGGUCCGGACCAUUCGACUCUCGGGUAGGCUGCUUGAGGCGACGAGCAAUUGUCGUCCUAGAUAAAUGGUCGCCACGUUUUUGCUUCGCAGAAACGUACAGGACCCGGCUUAUCGAUCCAGUCAGCCA